rnacentral:rRNA from 1 species
UACGGAGGGUGCAAGCGUUAUCCGGAUUUACUGGGUUUAAAGGGUGCGUAGGUGGGUCUGUAAGUCAGUGGUGAAAUCUCCGGGCUUAACCCGGAAACUGCCAUUGAUACUAUAGAUCUUGAAUAUCCUGGAGGUGAGCGGAAUAUGUCAUGUAGCGGUGAAAUGCUUAGAUAUGACAUAGAACACCAAUUGCGAAGGCAGCUCACUACGGGAUCAUUGACACUGAGGCACGAAAGCGUGGGGAGCAAACAGG